rnacentral:rRNA from 1 species
GACGAACGCUGGCGGCGUGCCUAAUACAUGCAAGUAGAACGCACAGUUUAUACCGUAGCUUGCUACACCAUAGACUGUGAGUUGCGAACGGGUGAGUAACGCGUAGGUAACCUGCCUGGUAGCGGGGGAUAACUAUUGGAAACGAUAGCUAAUACCGCAUAAUAUUGAUUAUUGCAUGAUAAUUAAUUGAAAGGUGCAAUUGCACCACUACCAGAUGGACCUGCGUUGUAUUAGCUAGUAGGUGAGGUAACGGCUCACCUAGGCGACGAUACAUAGCCGACCUGAGAGGGUGAUCGGCCACACUGGGACUGAGACACGGCCCAGACUCCUACGGGAGGCAGCAGGAGGGAAUCUUCGGCAAUGGACGAAAGUCUGACCGAGCAACGCCGCGGGAGUGAAGAAGGGUUUCGGAUCGUAAAGCUCUGUUGUAAGAGAAGAACGGGUGUGAGAGUGGAAAGUUCACACUGUGACGGUAUCUUACCAGAAAGGGACGGCUAACUACGUG